CCACUAUAAGACUGGGAUAACUUCGGGAAACCGGAGCUAAUACCGGAUAAUAUAUUGAACCGCAUGGUUCAAUAGUGAAAGACGGUUUUGCUGUCACUUAUAGAUGGAUCCGCGUCGCAUUAGCUAGUUGGUAGGGUAACGGCUUACCAAGGCAACGAUGCGUAGCCGACCUGAGAGGGUGAUCGGCCACACUGGAACUGAGACACGGUCCAG
rnacentral:rRNA from 1 species